rnacentral:rRNA from 1 species
UAGUCAUAUGCUUGUCUCAAAGAUUAAGCCAUGCAUGUCUAAGUAUAAGCAAUCUAUACGGUGAAACUGCGAAUGGCUCAUUAAAUCAGUUAUCGUUUAUUUGAUAGUACCUUACUACUUGGAUAACCGUGGUAAUUCUAGAGCUAAUACAUGCUAAAAACCCCGACUUCGGAAGGGGUGUAUUUAUUAGAUAAAAAACCAAUGCCCUUCGGGGCUCCUUGGUGAUUCAUAAUAACUUAACGAAUCGCAUGGCCUUGUGCCGGCGAUGGUUCAUUCAAAUUUCUGCCCUAUCAACUUUCGAUUGUAAGGUAGUGGCUUACAAUGGUUUCAACGGGUAACGGGGAAUUAGGGUUCUAUUCCGGAGAGGGAGCCUGAGAAACGGCUACCACAUCCAAGGAAGGCAGCAGGCGCGCAAAUUACCCAAUCCCGACACGGGGAGGUAGUGACAAUAAAUACUGAUACAGGGCUCUUUUGGGUCUUGUAAUUGGAAUGAGUACAAUUUAAAUCCCUUAACGAGGAACAAUU